AUACGUAGGGCGCAAGCGUUGUCCGGAUUUAUUGGGCGUAAGGGGCUCGUAGGCGGUUUCGUAAGUCGGGUGUGAAAACUCAGGGCUCAACCCUGAGACGCCACUCGAUACUGCGAUGACUUGAGUCCGGUAGGGGAGCAGGGAAUUCCUGGUGUAGCGGUGAAAUGCGCAGAUAUCAGGAGGAACACCAUUAGCGAAGGCGCUGCUCUGGGCCGGUACUGACGCUGAGGAGCGAAAGCAUGGGGAGCAAACAGGAUUAGAAACCCUAGUAGUCC
rnacentral:rRNA from 1 species